rnacentral:rRNA from 1 species
CACGUAGGGUGCGAGCGUUGUCCGGAAUUAUUGGGCGUAAAGAGCUCGUAGGCGGUGUGUCGCGUCGGCCGUGAAAACCUGCAGCUUAACUGUGGGCUUGCGGUCGAUACGGGCAUCACUGGAGUUCGGCAGGGGAGACUGGAGUUCCGGGUGUAGCGGUGGAAUGCGUAGAGAUCCGGAAGAACACCGGUGGCGAAGGCGGUCUGCUGGGCCGUUGCUGACGCUGAGGCGCGACAGCGUGGGGAGCAAACAGG